UCAAUUCAUUUCUUUUUUUAUCUACCCCUUAAUAUCCCUUAUAACCCUCAAACAAAAAACAAUUACUUACAUAUCCUUUUAUUUAUUUUAAAAUAUAAAAAAAAAAACACUUGGUGAGCGCAAAAACCCAUGGCGUGAGAACCAGAGGCCGUAUCAUCGAGACCAUUUUGUGGAGAUCGCGGCUUUUCAGCCAGCCGCCGGCGCGGUACUGUGUGAUCUAGCGCAGAGAAAGUUGAAGAUUGAAGAAGAUGGCAUGGAGGCAAAUGCUCUUCAAGGGGAGCCCAAUUUCUCAACCCCUUUCACCAACUGGGUUCGCUAGAUUCUUCUCCAAGCCAUCCCCUUAUGCAGUGAAAGUUGGAAUUCCAGAAUUUUUAAAUGGAAUAGGCAAAGGGGUGGAAUCCCAUGCGGCUAAGCUUGAAACCGAGGUGGGCGACUUCUAGAAACUGCUUGUCACUCGGACUCUCAGACUGAAGAAACUUGGCAUCCCUUGCAAACAGAGGAAGCUGAUAUUGACACACGCCCACAAGUAUAGGCUGGGACUAUGGAGGCCUCGAGCGGUACCAAUGAAAUCCUAACUAGUUUAGGACUAGCUUGCUUAUUGAGAAUGUAUCAAAUGUCACAUUACAGGUGGAACUAUGCAGGUUUUACUUUUGUUUCUUAGUAAAGAUGUCAUUGCAGAGUGAUGUAGGAAACAUGCAGAAUUUGAUGUCAUCUGGUGUUCAACGUUCACAAUGCCUUGAUAAGCCCAUUAUCAUUGUGAAGUUUCGAAUUAUUUUGAUA